UAAAUAUGAAAUUACAAGAAACAAAUUUGAAUUUCUCAUGUCUAAAAUUGGCUGCCUAAUCACUUCUAUAUACAGAUAAAUACUUAUGAACAAAUAACAGAUAAAUACUUAUGAACUUCUACAGAUAAAUGGUUAAUAGUUUAAUACUUAUGAAAGUAUUAAACUAUUAAUCAUUUAUAUAAUUUUAUAUUUAACCAUUUAUAUAAUUUUAUAUUUUAUAUCAUCAUUAAUACUUCACUCUUCAUACCUCUAAUCCUGCCCUCAUAUCCCUUUGGAUAAAGGCAGGGUUAGUCACUACCCAAAGAGAUUCUAUGUGCCAACUAUCUCAUCAUGUAUCAUAAAAGAUAAUUAAAAGUGUAAGGUCACGGGACCCUGAGAGGAAUUUUAUCUUUACAUCAAAUUAUUUUAAAUAUGCAUAUGAUAAAAUUAAUCUAUGUCAGUAAAAAGGUGAAGAUCAAACAAUUGGUAAGGAAUGUAUCACUCAGCAAAAAAAUUGUCUCUCGUAUGUUAUUGAAAGUAAAUAAUCAAAAUAAUGUCGAGACGAAAAUGAUCUUAUUACGUGCAGAUGUCGCCAUAACUCGAUGUGAAAGAAUGAGAAAUUGUUUAUUAAAUUAUAAACAGCACAA
rnacentral:lncRNA from 1 species